CACGUCUGUCUGAGCGUCCGUUUCGUUUUCCGUCUCCCCUGCGGGCGUUUGCUUCAAACCCAAACGUUUCUUCGCAGGCGGUGGCGCGUUGAGGCGUCGUCCGGACAACGGGCGUCCCUUGAAGUGCGAA
rnacentral:misc_RNA from 1 species